ensembl:lncRNA
AGGAGAUGAACCUGCAGCUGAUAUGUCCUGAUAAAUAAACACACCUAACAGGUAAAGUACAUAUUUAAUACACACACACACACACACACACACACAUAAACUCACACACAUACACAGACACACACUGUGUUAUUAUCUGGAGUGUGAUGUGGAGUUAUUAAAGCUGAAACCGCUGCUGGAGUUUAUUAUGGUUUCGGAUGACAAGAUUAGCCACAGGUGCUAGCUGUUUUUAGCAUUUAGCAUUUUAGCAAGAUGACUUUCAGUCGACGGAAACGGUAUUUUCUCCCACAUUAGCGUCACACAUUUGAUUAUUUUAGCAAACGCUCGGUUUUCGAGUUGCAGAAGAAAAGCGGAGAAUUUAUCCAGACUCGUUAAAUGCGUAAUUUCGGGAAAUGUAGGUAGCCUUCUCCACCCGUAUUCAGGCAAUCCCUCAAGCCCUGCAGGGAAUGGCUACUCGUUAACCCAAACAAUCCUCUGAUUGGUUAGUUUUACAUCCACGGUUAAAGCAGACGCGAUCCUAUUGGCUAAUCAUCUCUUAGGAGGCGGAGCCUGUCGGAACCGAGUUUAAUGGAAGACUUAAAAAAUACAGAAGAAGAUCAGAGUAAUCCAGUUUCUCACCAGGACACCAAACAGAUACUUAAA